GAUUGGGCCUGAGUUUGGUUGACGUCACACUGACGACUGUGAUUACGAAAGAUCCAAUAAACAGACCCGUUUCUAUUAUAAAAGUUUGUAAAUACAUUUUAUAUCAAAACACUUUAGUAUGUAAGCACCUUCGUUCUGCGGCGAAGGGUAAAAGUAAGUGAAUAGGAUAGCUGCGGAGAAUAAUGCCAAAAUUUGUUUUUAUAAAUGUUUUUAAAAGAAAAGCUGGAGAAAAGCGUCCCACAGAUGUCAAGUCAUCAACUGCCGAAGAGAAGUGUGGCAGAAAUACAAUGGCACAAGAAGAACCCAUCAUGAUGCUAAUGUCAUUCAAGCCAAAAAGCAAAUAUGCUCACGAACGCUCACGACCGACAGACGAGAAAAAUACGACACGGUCAAGACGAGAUAGCUAUCCGAAGUCAAACUGCAGACGAAGAUCCAGACAUGAUGAUGAUGGAAUUCAAGCAAAAAGCCUCGGUUAAUCGUUUCAACUCCGGACGAAAUGGCUACAGGCAGCCUUAAAAAAUGGCACCCGGUAUCUCUAUGAGGUGUUUUAAUGAAAACUCGGGGAUUUUCGUUUUCACGGUAGUUUAUCAAACUCGUUCCCAGGCCCUUUCCCUUUCCUGUUAUUAUUGAAAAAGAAGAGGGCCUGGGUACGAGGUCGGGUAUUUUUUCCCCGUACCCUGGAAACCAGGGACUCGAUUUCCGACAAGGAACGAAGCGAAACCGAGGUCCAUAUCAUAUAUGCUAACCGUUAGCAAAAGAGAAAGGUCCCAGCCUCGGGUUCCGUAGGGUAUUGUUAAUUUCUAUCUUUGCAGUAUUCUUAGCUGUUUGUAUAAAAAUUACGAUGCUUAAAGCGCUUUUAUCUUUUAUCAAUUGUGUUUUAAAAAUCAGACUCGUAUACCAAGUCAUGAAGACUGACGAGGUGCGCAAAGCAUUCUGGGACGGACGAACUUUCUGAUGUUCUGCAAUGGGAACGCGACUCGCACCUCACAAAAAACAUUUACUGCUAUUAAAGGCGAGAUGAAAAGUGGAUCGUAAUAA